rnacentral:rRNA from 1 species
CCUACGGGAGGCAGCAGUGGGGAAUCUUGCACAAUGGAGGAAACUCUGAUGCAGCGAUGCCGCGUGAGUGAAGAAGGCCUUUGGGUUGUAAAGCUCUUUUGUAGGGGAAGAUAAUGACUGUACCCUAAGAAUAAGGUCCGGCUAACUUCGUGCCAGCAGCCGCGGUAAUACGAAGGGACCUAGCGUAGUUCGGAAUUACUGGGCGUAAAGCGCGCGUAGGCUGUUGAGUUAGUUAAUUGUGAAAUCCCAAAGCUUAACUUUGGAACUGCAAUUAAGACUGCUCGACUAGAGUUUGAUAGAGGAAAGCGGAAUACAUAGUGUAGAGGUGAAAUUCGUAGAUAUUAUGUAGAACACCAGUUGCGAAGGCGGCUUUCUGGAUCAACACUGACGCUGAGGCGCGAAAGUAUGGGGUAGCAAAGAGGAUUAGAUACCCGUCGUAGUCCAUACCAUAAACGAUGAUUGCUAGAUGUUGGAAAUUUAUUUUCAGUAUCGCNGCUACGCAUAGUACAUCGCCGUGGAGACGACGACGAGUAAACGUACGAAGUAAGUAGUAGNGNGUAGAGUUGCGAGCGACGACGAGGGAGAGG